GUCUUUGCUAUUUACUUGCUAUGUGAACUAAUCAUUAAUAAUUGUCAUUAUUUUGUUUAAAUAUUUUCUUUUUUCUAUAAUCAAUUGCUGUGCUUGCUGGUGUCUCGCUGUGCUUGCGGGCUUUUAUUGGGUUGAGGUUUUAUUCCAUCUCUGGGGAGGGCCCACUAUUCACCAACAUGCGGCUCGUUUUACUGCCCCUUUUUUAUCCUACAUAGCGUGGCAGCAUAAGAUAUAGCCAGUUUUCUUACUGCUAUAUCUUUAGUGACCACAGGGUGGCGAUCCCGCGCCAUCCCUGUGAUUACUAUAUCCAAUGCAGUACCCUCGUUCCACCUGCAGGGCGCGUGCUUUGGUAAUUAUGCGGCCAGCUCUGAUGACAUCACCCGGCAGCGCCGAGGUGUAUGUCGAUUCGGGCGGGACAGGGAGCUAUUUAAGGGCCCUCAGCCCUAGCACAUACAUCUGUAGCCUCCCGGGAGGCACACGGACACUGUUUACUUGCCUGCAGUUCUACUAUCAGAGACCUGACAGGGCUUGUCUAUACCUGGCCCCUUGUUAUCUUUCUGGAGUGCAUCCAUUGUGAAUAUGGUGUUUAAAUUCACUGUAUUGCUAUAUGAUCAGCUUACACUCCUGUGUUAAUUUCAACUCACUAUGGUUACAGCCUGAUUAGCUCUAUCUACCUUCACUGGAUUUUUAGCUGCAAUCUGCAUUGGCUAUAUACUACUAUGGUGUAGAUGGAACUUUUUCACUGGAUGCCAGUACAAGUUUAUUCUUUUAACCAUUAACCCUUCACCAGUUCAGACUCCGGGUUACUGUUACCCCUAAUCUCAACUGAUGCUCCUCUAGCACAUUUAUAACAAAAAGCCCUUUGAAGAAGCGCCAUAUCUCAGCGCGAAACAUGUCAGGCCACAGCGAUUCCUUUGUCAUCGUUUAGACCUUCAGUCUUCGGUCCUUCCUCAGGAACUUUUACAAUCUAUAAGUGGUUGGAGGUUCUUUGUUUGUCUUUAUCAACAGUAUAUCUCAAUAACCAGUUUAAAUUCUUUUUAUGUAAUUAUGUUUAAUUACCAAUUCCUGAUGGUUCUCACUGAAUACUGUAAUGCUGUGUAAUUUUGUUUUUGUGCAAAUUCAAUCAUAUGGAGAUUUUCUUAAAGUGUUUAAUAAUACCUUGUGUAAUAAAUAUAUUUUUUUAGCAAAAA